UUGAAAGUGAUGAUAUAUAGUAAAGAUAAGAACAUUUAUUUCAAAACAAAUAGAGUAGCAUUUGAAUUUGUCCAUAUUUGCACUAGAUGCAAUUGUAGUCGUAAAGAAAAGGAAUGAAUGAUUCAACCAAAAGUGGAAGGUGGGACAGAGCUACUACUCGCGUGAGUGUUGAUGGUGUUAUUCUAUCUCUACACUUUUCCAUGAAUUUUAUAAUGAGCCUCUUGCUCUUGCUUGACUUAUCAGUUAACUCUU
rnacentral:lncRNA from 1 species